UACGUAGGGCGCAAGCGUUGUCCGGAAUUAUUGGGCGUAAAGAGCUCGUAGGCGGCUUGUCGCGUCGGAUGUGAAAACCCGGGGCUCAACCCCGGGCCUGCAUUCGAUACGGGCAGACUAGAGUUCGGUAGGGGGAGUCUGGAAUUCCUGGUGUAGCGGUGAAAUGCGCAGAUAUCAGGAGGAACACCGGUGGCGAAGGCGGGACUCUGGGCCGAUACUGACGCUGAGGAGCGAAAGCGUGGGGAGCGAACAGG
rnacentral:rRNA from 1 species